AGAGCGAACGCUGGCGGCAGGCUUAACACAUGCAAGUCGAGCGCCCCGCAAGGGGAGCGGCAGACGGGAGAGUAACACGUGGGAACGUACCUUUUGGUUCGGAACAACUGAGGGAAACUUCAGCUAAUACCGGAUAAGCCCUUACGGGGAAAGAUUUAUCGCCAAAAAGAUCGGCCCGCGUCUGAUUAGCUAGUUGGUGAGGUAACGGCUCACCAAGGCGACGAUCAGUAGCUGGUCUGAGAGGAUGAUCAGCCUCAUUGGGACUGAGACACGGCCCAAACUCCUACGGGAGGCAGCAGUGGGGAAUAUUGCGCAAUGGGCGAAAGCCUGACGCAGCGACGCCGCGUGGGGAUGAAUGCCUUCGGGUUGUAAACCCCUUUCAGCAGGACGAAGCGAAAGUGACGGUACCUGCAGAAGAAGCGCCGGCUAACUACGCGCCAGCAGCCGC
rnacentral:rRNA from 1 species